AUUUAUAUAGUAUAAUUAUUAUAUUUAACUUCCAAUUAAAAGAUCUAAGUAGUAUAAAUA
rnacentral:tRNA from 1 species